rnacentral:rRNA from 1 species
CUACGGGACGCUCCAGUGGGGAAUCUUAGACAAUGGGCGCAAGCCUGAUCUAGCCAUGCCGCGUGAGUGACGAAGGCCUUAGGGUCGUAAAGCUCUUUCGCUGGGGAAGAUAAUGACGGUACCCAGUAAAGAAACCCCGGCUAACUCCGUGCCAGCAGCCGCGGUAAUACGGAGGGGGUUAGCGUUGUUCGGAAUUACUGGGCGUAAAGCGCGCGUAGGCGGAUCAGAAAGUUGGGGGUGAAAUCCCGGGGCCCAACCCCGGAACUGCCUUCAAGACUCCUGGUCUUGAGUUCGAGAGAGGUGAGUGGAAUUCCGAGUGUAGAGGUGAAAUUCGUAGAUAUUCGGAGGAACACCAGUGGCGAAGGCGGCUCACUGGCUCGAUACUGACGCUGAGGUGCGAAAGCGUGGGGAGCAAACAGGAUUAGAUACCCGAGUAGUC